rnacentral:rRNA from 1 species
CCUACGGGUGGCUGCAGUGAGGAAUAUUGGUCAAUGGCCGGGAGACUGAACCAGCCAAGUCGCGUGAGGGACGAAGGUACAGUGUAUUGUAAACCUCUUUUGUCAGGGAACAAUGGCGGGGACGUGUCCCCUGAUGCGUGUACCUGAUGAAAAAGCAUCGGCUAACUCCGUGCCAGCAGCCGCGGUAAUACGGAGGAUGCGAGCGUUAUCCGGAUUUAUUGGGUUUAAAGGGUGCGGAGGCGGUUUGUUAAGUCAGCGGUGAAAGUCUGGGGCCCAACCCCGGCCCUGCCGUUGAAACUGGCAGUCUCGAGUUGGAGAGAGGUAGGCGGAAUGCGCGGUGUAGCGGUGAAAUGCAUAGAUAUCGCGCAGAACUCCGAUUGCGAAGGCAGCAUGCCGGCUCCACACUGACGCUGAGGCACGAAAGCGUGGGUAUCGAACAGGAUUAGAUACCCGAGUAGUC